UACGUAGGGUGCGAGCGUUGCCCGGAUUUAUUGGGCGUAAAGGGCGCGUAGGCGGCCACGCACGUCCGUUGUGAAAUCGCCCGGCUCAACUGGGCGGGGUCGGCGGAUACGGCGUGGCUGGAGCAAGCUAGGGGGCAAUGGAAUUCCCGGUGUAGUGGUGGAAUGCGUAGAGAUGUGGAGGAAUACCGAUGGCGAAGGCAGCCCCCUGGGCCAAUACUGACGCUCAUGCACGAAAGCGUGGGGAGCAAACAGG
rnacentral:rRNA from 1 species